UACGGAGGGAGCUAGCGUUGUUCGGAAUUACUGGGCGUAAAGCACACGUAGGCGGCUUUGUAAGUUAGGGGUGAAAGCCUGGAGCUCAACUCCGGAAUUGCCUUUAAGACUGCAUCGCUUGAAUCCGGGAGAGGUGAGUGGAAUUCCCGGUGUAGAGGUGAAAUUCGUAGAUAUCGGGAGGAACACCGGUGGCGAAGGGGGCGACCUGGGUGGAUACUGACGCUGAGGCGCGAAAGCGUGGGGAGCAAACAGG
rnacentral:rRNA from 1 species